rnacentral:rRNA from 1 species
CAGGAACUCAGAUCAUGUAAUCUACCUCCAUAAAAUAAGUAAUAACUAUUGAAUCCUGUUCCACCUGUCUUCGGUUGGGGCGACCACGGGGAAUAAAAAAUCCCCCAUGUGGACCAGGAGCACAUACUCCUACAACCAUGAGCCACAGCUCUAAUGCACAAAACAUUUGACCAUUAGAUCCGGCAAAGCCGAUUAACGGACCAAGUUACCCUAGGGAUAACAGCGCAAUCCCCUUUAAGAGUUCAUAUCGACAAGGGGGUUUACGACCUCGAUGUUGGAUCAAGACAUCCUAAUGGUGCAGCCGCUAUUAAGGGUUCGUUUGUUCAACGAUUAAAGUCUUACAUGAUCUGAGUUCAG